AUCCCUCCUCUCGCAGUUACAGGAUCUUCGGACUCCGCCGACACGUCGCACACGAAACUCUGCCUGGAAACACCGUAAAGUAACCGGCGGCCGACAGAGACGGAGCGGCCUCUCAGGACACGAGGGGUCGAUUAGGUGUGACUUGCUGUGUUGGUGACUGUGAUGAUGGGAGGAGAGCAGAGCCAUGAGACGAAGGCUGAGGAGAAAGAAAAAGAGGCGGAUAAACAUCAACAAUCUGCCCCUACUGACAGCUCAGGAUCUGCUGCUGCAGAAGACACCCCAGGAGAGCUGCCCCAGUGCAAGAUGGGAAACAAGAAGGUGGACAACAUGUGUUUCAUGAUCUCGUGCACCAACUGGUACUAAACUGAACCAGCAGGUUAAUGAAACAGAAGACGCUGCCUUCAUGGAUUCACCGAAAAUCCAAAACGAAGCCGUCGCUGAAGUCCCACGUGCUCCCUGCAUCGUUCCACCAAUCGUAAAAAUGACAAAUUGCCAUUUUACAGCUUAAACAAAUGAGAUAUAACAUGAUCAUCAGUGAGCUUUAGAGGCGCUGUUAGGUAAAUAUUGUCACCAUAGGUCGGAGCCAGGCUAGCUGUUUCCCCUGCAGUCUUUAUGCUAAGCUAAGCUAACCAGUGGGGGCUUCAUUUUAACAUACAGAUGAGAGUGGUAUUGAUCUUAUCUAACUCUUGGCAAUAAAGUGCAAAGGCUGUAUUUCCACUUUAUUUAUAAGGGAAGACACCUGUAGCAUAUCGCUUACUCUUACGCUGGCACAGGUGAGAAAAAUAAUUUGAUAUCAGAUAUAUCAUGGGAAUAAGGUGAUUGUUGUGAGUGUCAGUCCUUUCCUUUCCGCUUCUUCAAUGUAUAAACUAACCAGGUAAACACAUUCAUUCAUUUUCCGUAACCACUUAUCCUGUUGGGGGUCGCGCGAGUGCUGGAGCCUAUCCCAGCUGACACUGGGUGAGAGGCAGGGUUCACCCUGGACAGGUCACCAGACUAUCACAGGGCUGACACAUAGAGACAGACAACCAUUCACACUCAUAUUCACACCUACGGACAAUUUAGAGUCACCAAUUAACCUGCAUGUCUUUGGACUGUGGGAGGAAGCUGGAGCACCUGGAGGAAACCCACGCUGACACAGGGAGAACAUGCAAACUCCACACAGAAGGGCUCCCACGCCCUGGGUUCGGACCAGGGUGUUGGAGGUUAAAGUCACGAUCCCACACUGGCUGUCUUUAAAAUCUAAUUCAGUCAUAAACGGAAGAGGCAGAAGAAGGGACGGAGAGAAGAUGAUUCAUGGACUGUAUGUAAGAUGGCAUUCAAGGAAACCCACUUACUCUAAAACUUCAAUUUAAUGCCCACUCCCUUUUAGUAGUCUGGUGUGGCUACACGUUUUGACAAAUAAAGGCCUCUCUUAAUUCGAGGCCUGGUCUGGUCGCCAAGCGGCUCAUUUUCAUAGAAGUUCUUUGGAUGUAUAAAACAGGUUGUUGGCUACCCCCUGGAGCUGACAUUAGAUUGCUGUAUAGAUCCUGCAUACAAAUAUAAAUGUUUGAACUUCUGUCAAUAUGGACAUGCUACACAUCAUUAGCUUGGUUAGAUUCUCCACAAUUCAAUAGUUCAGUUUAUUUUAUUGAAACUAUGAGCACCAAAGAACAAUUCAAGAGAGAGAGAGAACAAGAGAGACGAAAAAUGGUGGUGACUCCCUACGUUACCUCUGAACUGGGCAUAAAGUCAAAUUGUGUGCCCAUUCGUCAGUUACCUGUUAACUUAUUCAUAUUCCUCUGGUCAGUACGAGUCUUCAGAUCAAAAUAAUCAAAAGGGUUUUUCAUAAAAAUGAAUCCAAGUUGUAAGUAUUUGAAUAGCUUUAAGUAGCGGGUGCUGAAAUCCUCGGGUGCCAUAAAACUCUCUCUGAUGCCCCAUCUGUUGGAUCUAGAUCAGUGAUUCAUAAUUAAUAUGUUAUCCGAAGCCUAAUUUUUAAACAAGUAAUAUUCAUACUGGUUAAAAUCCCUGAUCUUUGCUGAGCAACAGUUUUGUUUGAAAGGAAUUAAAGGCCUGUCCCAAAUAUAGGCCUCUUGAGUUCUGUUAUAUCAGCGAAUAAUAGCCCGGGCUAUUAAUUGAAGUUUUACUCUAAGUGUAUUUUUUUGUGGUGCCAAUAAAGACUGACUGUUCUACUGAUCACAGCCGAGCCGUGUAUGAAUAUGUUUCUCGUCAUGCUUUAGCAGGUUGAAGGUCGGAGAAGUAGACUAAUAUUUGACUGAAUUAUUGAGUUUUGAAUUUGAUGAAAAUUCUUUUAACUGGCUGAAAUAAAGAUGUUUGAUUUUUUGUGUCUCA